UUAAUCCCAGUUAAACUUAUUAGUAGAAAAUACUUUAUAUGUCAAAGAAAACAGAACCACAAUUAUUACAAUACCUUUGAGGGACAGAAGGUCCUAUGUCAAACGUUCCUCAACUUUUCUUAACUCAUUUUUUUAAAACCCAGAUGUCUGGAUGUUCCCCAAGUCUUCAUGCCUGCUGGGGUAAUCCUGUCCUUUAAAAAUGUUCUAACAUGUGUCCCAUAUAUGGUAGAAAUGACGUUGUCCAGGGCUCUGUGUGGUGAUGUUACAUUUAUCCCAGUAACCUUGGGUCUGAUCUCUGGCUUCUGCCUUUUGUUGCUGUUUCCUUCUGUCCUCCCAGCAUUGGCCCAGGAAUAAAAUGCAGUCACUUUUCAUGACUACAUUUAUUCUUUCAACAUAUACUUAACUUCCAACCACGCGGAGAAAAAUUAAUGUGGAGAUUAAACAAGAGACACUAUGUAAAGUGCCAGCACAAGUGCUCACAGGAGCAUCUUUCUUUCUUUGUGGAAUCCUGAUUCAACCCAUAAACUCUGCGUUGAUGAAUCUGGAUUUCAAUCCCUGGUCCUUGCCAGUUUGACCCCUGACAAUAUAUUUAGUUUCUAUAAACCUUAAAAAAAUGGGGCCCAUAGGAAUACCUGAUACUUAAGAUAGCUGAAGGGACCAAGUGUAAUACUGCAAAAAAUUACCUGGAAAAUACAUUCUCUGUUAUUCUGUGGGUUUUGUUUUGUUUUGUUUUAUUCUGCGGUUUUGACUUUUUUUCUCUGGCUUCCCUUUUGCAGGUGUGUGCAUGGUACCACUCUAUUCUUUCUUCUUCUCCAUUAGCUUGUGGAUAUCAAAAUGGCAGUUAAAAUGCAAAUUUUCAAUGCAUUUACCCCAGAAUUUGUGUAAUUCACAGCGGUAUAUAUGAUUUCUUUCAUUAAAACAGAACGUCACGAGCAAAAUAGAAAAAUGGUCCAACUUUCACUGUCUUCAAGUGUUUCAACUCUCCUAGAAAAUUAAAAGCCACAAGCUUCACUAGGCCAGUCACAGAAAUCUCAUUUUCCUUACAUACGCUUCGUUCUGAAGCCAACAUGUGACAACUCAGAAGAGUCGUGAGGGAGUAUCUGCUGAAUUAUUUCUGAGAAAGGAUUUCUUCUUAUAAAAGUGAUCGUCAGGAAGAGAUUUUUUUAUCUGCUUCCACUGGACACUGUUGUGUGCAGAUGUCAGGUCCAGGUUGAUGUAACCGUUUCACAACCAUCAGGGCAGCCAGCUGGAGAGCGGAGCUGAAAUGCCAGGGGGAUCCAGUGCAAAGACGGAAAGAGCGCUGGUUCCUGGUGACAUCACUGAGCCUCUGACUAACCAGCCCUUUCACUGUGAUGCCAGUGGCUUCUCCUUAUACAGGAAGAUUCCAUUCUCCACAUUGUUAAGACAGCUAAUUGAGGCUUUUCUGUUGUUUUCUGCAGGGAGUCCUAAGGGACAUACAAAGAAUAUAGAAGUAGGCUGUUCCCUGAUAUUUUUUUAAAUGCGGUGACCCCCAUCAAGGACUUCUGCUUCAGCAAUAUACUUCCAUCACUAAAGAUGCUGCUAAGAAUAUAUAGUUGGCUAGAUUACUAUUGCCAGUGAUGGAAUAUUCAAAAUCUAAUCAGUUUUCAGUUCAAGGAAAUAACCGCUAAUAAAAAAAAAAUGCUUUUGGAUCAUUUCAUGAGGCAGAGUACUUUAUUCCAUAUGGCAUCCUGCACGUCCAUAUGGCUUCAGGAAUUAGAGAGGUAUAUGUGUCAAAAUAUUCAAUCAGUUGCAGCCCUUAAAGUUGAUAAUGUUAUGUGUUUGGAGCAUACACCAUCUCAUGAAUAUGGGGGAAAGUCAAAGGAGCAAAUGCCAGCCAAAGGAAAAUCAUAGUGAGUUUAUAUUCAGGAGAGAGAAAAGAAAGGAAAGAGACCCGUGCUGCUGUAAUUUAAUCUAAAUCAUGUGAAUGAUAUUGACUCCAUGCUGCAAUAACCCAGUCACGGGUAAAAGCAGUGUGUAAUAAGGUU